GUUGACGGUAUGAAUCCAUGCCUUCAUAAUUUCCUUACUUUCCAUUACUCGUGUCUUUUAGGGUUCACACUACAGCAUCUCUUGGAAAAUCUCUGAAACUAUGUACUUUUUGCCCCUCUAUAGCACAAUUGCUUUCUUCUUGAACAACAUGAUUAUUAGAUAUUAUUGCGAACUAUAUAAAUUUGCAAUAGAUUCCGUGUAGAAGUGCCACAAACAACAGAAGUAAUUGCUAAAUUCAGAGACUUUACGUGACAAAGAAUUCUACACCAUAUGGUAUCUCCACAAAUAAAUUUUAUGAAAUUCUGUUAAGUGAUUGAGUCGUAUGCAUCUAAGAUAAGAGUUACAGAGAUGAGAAUGUUAAGGUGG
rnacentral:misc_RNA from 1 species